UACCUACGGGAGGCAGCAGUGGGGAAUAUUGGGCAAUGGGCGCAAGCCUGACCCAGCAACGCCGCGUGAAGGAAGAAGGCUUUCGGGUUGUAAACUUCUUUUAUCAGGGACGAAGCAAGUGACGGUACCUGAUGAAUAAGCCACGGCUAACUACGUGCCAGCAGCCGCGGUAAUACGUAGGGGGCAAGCGUUAUCCGGUUUUUCUGGGUGUAAAGGGCGUGUAGGCGGGUGUGCAAGUCAGGUGUGCAAACUAUUGG
rnacentral:rRNA from 1 species